AUUGAACGCUGGCGGCAGGCCUAACACAUGCAAGUCGAGCGGAUGAAGGGAGCUUGCUCCUGGAUUCAGCGGCGGACGGGUGAGUAAUGCCUAGGAAUCUGCCUGGUAGUGGGGGAUAACGUCCGGAAACGGGCGCUAAUACCGCAUACGUCCCGAGGGAGAAAGUGGGGGAUCUUCGGACCUCACGCUAUCAGAUGAGCCUAGGUCGGAUUAGCUAGUUGGUGGGGUAAAGGCCUACCAAGGCGACGAUCCGUAACUGGUCUGAGAGGAUGAUCAGUCACACUGGAACUGAGACACGGUCCAGACUCCUACGGGAGGCAGCAGUGGGGAAUGUUGGACAAUGGGCGAAAGCCUGGUCCAACCAUGCCGCGUGUGUGAAGAAGGUCUUCGGAUUGUAAAGCACUUUAAGUUGGGAGGAAGGGCAGUAAGUUAAUACCUUGCUGUUUUGACGUUACCAACAGAAUAAGCACCGGCUAACUUCGUG
rnacentral:rRNA from 1 species